AAAGACCCAGCCAAAUUUCCUGCUUCUAUUUCACCCGCGAAGAGCCACGGGCCACCCCGUGUUUCUUCUUUAGAUCAGAUAGAUCAGAUUCAACCACCUCUGUUCUCCCCGACGAAAGCGGCGAUCGGCGCCGCCAAGAUUGGGGGAGGCCGCCCCGCCGGCCGAGUUCGGAUCGACCGAAUCAAUCAGCCCUGCAAAUAGCCUGCUCUCUUCUCCCCCAGAUUACAACGAUCGGCGACGGAAGAUUGGAGGAGGCCGCCCCACCGGCCGGGCUCGGAUUCACUGCAUCAACCCGCCCCGGGAGCACCCGGGUCUCUUUCCCCCCGAUUGCAACAACUGACCACGACUAUCGGUUCAGUUUAAAUACUCAUGCAUAACCUGGGAUUGUAGACGAUAUGCUCACUGACUAUAGAGAUAUUCGAACCAAGGCAAGGCACAAAAGUAAUCCAGAAGGGUGUUCGACAAUAAUGCUGCAACUAAAGAAGGAUUACUUCAAUGGUUAUACUGCUGAGGAAGUGUUAUCCAACAAGCCACCUAAUAGUACUCACGAGAAUUGGAUCAAGCACCUUCCUUUCCAGCAUGGGGUAUGCAUCAAGAUACUGGAGGUCUGGGAGCUCUACUUCAUCAGCACAGAUCCGUGUUGUAGAAGAGAUAGUGGAACAAAAUCAUAGAGAGGCAUCAAGAGGAGUUAGGUGCAAGACUUGAAGCACAAGAUAGAGAAUUUGAAGAAAUGCACAGGGAGCAUCAAGAAGAAGCGAAAGGAGACAUAUAACCUAAUUGGUCUUCUCUUAAGGGCUCAAGCAACCCAACAGUCCCAACCCAAACCUGACGAGUCCCGGUCCAAACCUGGUGGUGCAUGAAGGCCAUACUUUUGUGAUGGAAAGAUAGUUGGAAUCCCAAGACAAUGCAUGUGGUCCUUUAGUUAUCUAUAAAUAUUAGUUGUCUAUUUAAAAGAUGAUUUGGCUAAGAUGAUUCAAUAUAUAAUAUGAUUUUCCUCCAUUUAAAUUUAUAAUGUGAUUUGGCUCUUUACUUAUUUAUAUAACGUGAUGUGAAUUAAAUAUUUACUCUCACUUGCAUUUGCAAUAUAGUGGAUUUGAUAA